GACGAACGCUGGCGGCGUGCCUAAUACAUGCAAGUCGAACGCUGAAGGAGGAGCUUGCUUCUCUGGAUGAGUUGCGAACGGGUGAGUAACGCGUAGGUAACCUGCCUGGUAGCGGGGGAUAACUAUUGGAAACGAUAGCUAAUACCGCAUAAUAGUAGAUGUUGCAUGACAUUUGCUUAAAAGGUGCAAUUGCAUCACUACCAGAUGGACCUGCGUUGUAUUAGCUAGUUGGUGAGGUAACGGCUCACCAAGGCAACGAUACAUAGCCGACCUGAGAGGGUGAUCGGCCACACUGGGACUGAGACACGGCCCAGACUCCUACGGGAGGCAGCAGUAGGGAAUCUUCGGCAAUGGACGGAAGUCUGACCGAGCAACGCCGCGUGAGUGAAGAAGGGUUUCGGAUCGUAAAGCUCUGUUGUAAGAGAAGAACGAGUGUGAGAGUGGAAAGUUCACACUGUGACGGUAGCUUACCAGAAAGGGACGGCUAACUACGUG
rnacentral:rRNA from 1 species